rnacentral:rRNA from 1 species
CAGCCGCCGCGGUAAUGCGAAGGGGGCUAGCGUUGCUCGGAAUGACUGGGCGUAAAGGGCGCGUAGGCGGAAUGCUUUGUCGGGCGUGAAAUCCCAGGGCUUAACCUUGGGGCUGCGUUCGAGACGGGUAUUCUAGAGUGGAGAAGAGGGUCGUGGAAUUCCCAGUGUAGAGGUGAAAUUCGUAGAUAUUGGGAAGAACACCGGUGGCGAAGGCGGCGACCUGGUCUUUUACUGACGCUGAGGCGCGAAAGCGUGGGGUGCAAACAGGAUUAGAUACCCCCGUAGUCCCUGUCUCUUAUAC